GGGCCCGCACAAGCGGUGGAGUAUGUGGUUUAAUUCGAUGCAACGCGAAGAACCUUACCAGGGUUUAAAUGCAGAACGACAGGGGUGGAAACACCCCCUUCUUCGGACGGACUGCAAGGUGCUGCAUGGUUGUCGUCAGCUCGUGCUGUGAAGUGUCGGGUUAAGUCCCAUAACGAGCGCAACCCCCAUUUCUAGUUGCCAGCGGUUCGGCCGGGGACUCUAGAGAAACUGCCAGCGUAAGCUGUGAGGAAGUGGGGAUGACGUCAAAUCAUCACGGCCCUUACAUCCUGGGGCUACACACGUACUACAAUGCUACGGACAAAGGGCAGCAAGUUCGCGAGGACAAGCAAAUCCCAUAAACCGUGGCUCAG
rnacentral:rRNA from 1 species